CAGCCCCGUGUUGCCGCCAGCCGCGGCUCCCGUGCGGUUACGGGAGCAGCAGCCCCGCCCCGCCGGCCCCCAGCUGGCUCCUCGCUCGAGGUUUCCUGUCGAGCGCUGCCAUCCAGGGCCCGGGUUAUCGCGCGUGAUCUCCCAUCUGAGCUGCUCACACGCUGCCGCCCGCCCCCACUUGCGGUCCCUUGUCCCCGAACCGCACCCGCCCCCAGGCCCCCGCGCUGAGAGACCAGGGCGUGGAUCUGCGCCGGGCUCCGGCGCUGGGGGCCGAGGGUCUGGUUUUUAGAUAUCAAAGGAGCCCGACACCAGGGUCCCCCAGACAGGCAAGGAGAGGGACCCGGCCUGGGGCCUGCCUUCGGUGGUGGGCACAGUGGCCAGGAUCGGGCCUGGCUCCGGCUGGCCCGGCACACGAGCACGGCGACAGUGGCAAGACUGGGAGGGCCGGCGCUGCCUCCUUGGGAAGCCCCGGAGAGACGCAACCCUGAGAGGCUGGGCCUUCCCACCCCCCGCCCCCUCCCCCUUCCUCAGAUAGCAGGGAGGAAGCGCCAGGGGUCUCUCCGUUCUCACAUAGGGGGACUCCAAAUGUCGUCAAACCUGCCACUCUCGGAAUCAACAGCUGCUUUCAUUUUGAGCCCUGUGAGCAAAAGUUUCAGGGCUUUCCUGGCACACAUACCCAGUGCAUGGAGAGCGCUAAAUUUUAUCUUCCCUUCUAGAGUGGGACAUUCCUGUGUGGAGCUCCGAGAAUACAUGCCGGCACUGCCUGUGCCUGGGGCUGUGCUGGCUCCCACCCAGCUGCAGGAAUGAGGGACCACGGUACGGAGGGAAGUGGCUGAGUUGACAGCCACUGAUAGAGCUUUUUCCUGAUUGUCUCUGGCUUGAGCUAACCAGGUGGCAUGACAAAGUACUUAACAAAAACUACAGAUGCAGAGAAUUUUGGAAAUUUUUAAAAGACAGGAAAAAAGGUGGUUGAGGCAGAAAAAGGUAGUUCUAGAGUGAGAGGGGUUUCUUUCCUCCUCUUGGCUCACAGCAGAGGCCAAGUCCUUAGCAGUGUUUCCAGAGCAGGUGAAUGAGACUCUCUGAAGGCCGGCCCAGGGGUCUGCCUUGUAACACGUUCCCCCAGCUUCUCAUGUACACCACCACUCUUCGGGGACCACCACCUUCUGGGUUGGAUGGGUCUGGAAGAUUCUACGAAUAUAUCCAGCCCUACCUGAGCAUUUGCAGAAAGCCUGCUCUGUGAGGGAGGGCAGCCCCAAAGCUCUCUGUUGUAGACACAGAACCCAACAGGGACUACUGGUGCCACACUCUAUCUCUUCUGUCAGAGAAGCACCCAAGUGAGCCAUGACUUUGACAUUGCAUGGCCAUCUUAUGUUCAUUCCUCAAACUUUGUCAUGUUAAUGUGUACUCUCUCGGGGACAUCAUACCUAACACGGCUGCCUGAAGAUCUGCUUCGUUUAGAAUAUGCUAGUGAGGACAGUCCUGGAAUUUCUUUGUCUCUUUCCAGCCCUGCUUUCUCUACCUCCAGUCGUUUUCUGAGGACCGGCUUGGUGGGUGCUGAUGCCUGCCUGGAAGACCUCACACCCACAGUGUCUUAGAAGAUUCUGAAAGCAGUGUGAGACCAGAAUGACCAGCAAAGGAGAAAAGAACAAGGACACAUUGCAGCCAAAAUGGAGCUAGAAUCUUGCCUCUGUCCAUCCUUCACUGGAGUUAUCCUGGAUGGAGAAGGAACCAUAUCACCUGCAAAGCCUGGAAGGGGAGCCCUGCUGUGAGCGAUCCAGUGUUCAAGCUGGUCAUCAGGAGAAAGCUACUUAUGAUUUCCUAACAAGCCACCACAGAACAUCACAUUCCCAAACAUGCUCUUCACCGUCCCUGCUGUCCCCACGUGCCUAGCCCUGGUGUGGGCAGGAAUGAGUGGGAUUGGGAUGUUUUCUCACAGGUCUUUCUCAGGUGAGGCCCCAGGCUGUGACCAGGCCCCUGCCCUGCAUGUGACUCAGGCCUAGCCCCUGCUGGGGCAGGAAUGCC
rnacentral:lncRNA from 1 species